rnacentral:rRNA from 1 species
UACGUAGGGGGCAAGCGUUGUCCGGAUUUAUUGGGCGUAAAGAGCUCGUAGGCGGUUGGGCAAGUCACGUGUGAAAUCUCCACGCUCAACGUGGAGGCGCCACGUGAGACUGCCCUGACUCGAGUCCGGUAGGGGAGCGUGGAAUUCCCGGUGUAGCGGUGAAAUGCGCAGAGAUCGGGAGGAACACCUAUUGCGAAGGCAGCUCGCUGGGACGUUACUGACGCUGAGACGCGAAAGCGUGGGGAGCAAACAGG